UUCCUGAUGGUCCAGUGGUUAGGACUCCACGCUUUCAUUGCAGUGGGCACAGGUUUGAUCCCUGGUCAGGGAA
rnacentral:tRNA from 1 species